CUACAUUCAAAUCUCACUAUAAUAAUAUUUUUUAAAAAUAUUUUACAUAGGAAAAUAAAAAGACUAACACUCUCGUAAUAAUAUUUGUUGACUUUUAGUCAUUUCCCAACUGAGUUGGUCUCUUGUUGACUUGUGACUACAACUAAGUCUUUAACAUAAGAAAUAAUACUAGAUUAUGACAAACCUACGUUGUGGGUGAAAACAAAUUUUCUAACAAAUAUUCUUGGAACCUACUGUUGAUAAUUGCAAACAGAACAAAUUGUGUAAAUAAAAGUGCUAGUUGUAGUGCCCACUACAGGUGGCACUGAGACAAGAACGAAGAAAAACUCAAGCAAACUGUUCACACAGUUUGGUCUAACUGCGUCUAUGGAGCUUAACUCAAUGAAAUAAGCCACUAUCUUUAAAUCUAAUACGACAAGUGAUUCAAGUCUUUUAACACCUCAAUAUGACAACCACACUUUUGUAUCUAAAGAUCUACAUCAAUCACUUCUAAGUUCCAUUCAAAACUUAGGUUGUAAACCAAAAAAAAAAAACUUGUUUACUCUCUCAAUGCACUCCUAAUAACAAGUUCCUCAAUGAACAUAUAAAUACUAUAAAUUCUCGAUACUAAACCUAUACAGGUCUCUUCAAAUAUAUAAGAGUUCGAGACUUGUUAACAUAUCAGAUCAAUUACAAUUAAUUCUCCUAUAAAAGUGAAGCUAAAAACAACAUAUACAAUAAAAUAAUAAAGUCUAAGAUAAUUUUGAAUUGUUGGAUAUAAAUCUUCAAUGUAGUCCCAUACAAUCUCCUUAGUUUAUGGGGAUCUGAUCACUCAUAAACAUGUUAUCAUUUAUAAUAUAAAUAUCACACAAAAAAUAUAUAAAAGUCAAUUGGCGGUGUUCGCAAGUAUAUGAGUCAAAUUGUAAUAUAGUAAUUGUGUUAUGAAGGAACACAGGAAAAUAUUCUAAGGAUUGUACCCAAGGGAGGAUGAAAUAAAUCUAUCGAAAAUCUCUUUACAAUAAUAAGUCUAAAUAGUAAUAAUUAAAUCCUAUAUUAUGACAAAUGAUAAAAUAGAUAAAUAAUAGAAAUUAAAUAAUCUAAUUAAAUAAAAAAACAACUAAAUCGAUAAAACCAAUCAAAAAGAUUAACUCAUUUUAAGGGUUGUAAUUAACUUCAAAUUAGGGUUUGAAGGUGGAUUAGUAAUAGGCAUCGAAACCACCAAAUAUAAAUUCCUACGACAAAAUAACAAUAAUUAGCAGUAUAGAGCAGUAGGGUCGAAUCCACAGGGGUUGACUAUCUAAUUUCACCUUUUUUCGUGACCAGAAUCGCUGUCGCGGUCACAGUCGUGCCCACGACCUGCGCGUAGAAAUGCUGAAAGUAAAAAUAAAAAUGAGGGUUUAAAUUGAUUAAGAUAAUAAAAUAAGGAAAUAAAAUAAAAAAAGAUUCGAAAAUGCAAAAAUAAAUUUAAGAAAAUAAAAGAAAUGGACAAAUAAAAUAUUUUUUAAGCUUAGCCUUAGCCUCGGUAUACUCCAAUCUUGAAUCGAUCUUUGAAAUAGAUUUUCCCUUCCAAGUGAUAAGCUGAUUAUAGCAAUCGAUGAUCCCUCAAACCGCUAACUCUUCCUCUCGUAGUCAAUCUUGGUAUCACUUGCAAAUUGACCCUUGUUGAAUUUACAGCCACGUGGCACGUACCCGUAAUUUAAGACUUCGACAGCCUUGCGAUAUGAAAAGCCUAACUCGAAUUAAUGACCUCAACCGUGUGGGUCGUUUAAAUCCGAUCGCUGUCUCCCUUGACGGAAUCCAACUAGCUUUUUCCAAUUGAACAUGCCAAUUUGUUCGUAGGAUUUUGAAUACAGCACUGCCGAUUUAACUUCCCAACUGUACACCAAACGAUUCUAACCCAACGCGCGCUUUUUGAAUUGAAAUCGAAUCAACUUUGAGGGACGAAUUUGUAUUAUCCCAUAUAUCAGAGAGAUAUCGAAUACCGAAUUGCAAAGUAUUUAGUGUGGGUUCAUAUCUCAUGAUUAUUUUGUUGAAGUGAUAACCGGGCUAAGGCUAAAAAUGGUUUAGUUAAUCAUGGAAAGAGUCAUGCUUAAAAAUAAAUGGUUUAAAUGGAAUUGUGGAAAGCAGAAAGGGGAAAGACCUUAAAAGGUAAUUAAACCAAAAGGUUGAAAUCAAAAGAAAAAAAAAAGAGAAUGAAAUGGCAUAAUUGAAUGGCAAAGACGUAGGAGAGAAAAAAAUAGAGAAUUUAUUAAAUGCCAAAGGCAAAGUGU
rnacentral:lncRNA from 1 species